GAGAGAGAGAUGGGAGCUUCUGACCCGAAAGAGAGAGAGACGACCGGGAAGGGAAACCCGACCGGAACUCUCACCUCCGGCCACCGAUCAAAGACGCAAGACCACUAUUCUCUUCCUCUCAUCGUCGUCGUCACGCCUGUGGUCUCAGAUCGUCCAUGCACGGACUGUGGAGAGAAUUCGAAGCUUGAAAGGUUUGAACUUUCCGGCGAUGUUUCUGCAAUUUCUGGCGAUCUUCGGGGCUGUGUGAGUUCGGGUAUCGACAGAACCGCCAUCCAUGGCGGCGAUUCCAGGCUUCUAGUUUCGUUUCUGGCGUCUUGGAAAACCAGUUGAGGUCCGGGGAAGCUUGGUUCCUUGAAUUGGCGUUCGGUGAUGCUUUGGUCCUUGCUGUACUUCAAACUGAAGGGAGAAAUUCAGUGGGCUCGACCCGACGUUUACUGAGCUCGGUAGCUGCACGUUUAGGCUUGCCCAAGUUGCUCUCUGUUAACGAUUCUUUAAUUCUCAAAGGACUCCAGUUACCUAAGGAACGGAAGGUUCGCGACUCUCGGAGUACGUGAGAGAAAGCAUCGGAAUCCAGGUAGGGGAUUCAGGACUCUCCUCGGUUAGCGAUUUUCUUAUAUUGUUAUUAAAUGAUGCACGUUAGUUGGUAUGGUUUGGUCAUGUUCAAAUGCAAUGCAUACUAACCAAACCGUGUGAGAAAUGUGAUGGCUUGAGAGCGAAGGGUGGCUCUGACUUCCUUGGGUUCGAUCCCCAAAACCUCCGGAGGGUUAGUUACACCGGUCGGACGGUGAGCGAUCGCAAUGACGACCCGAUCCGUGUGUGUAGCUAGGUAGCGGACGCUCUCGCUACGCUUACCUGGUGAUAAAUUAAAUUGAGGUAAGGUCGUGUAGUGGGUCUAUGGGACCGGCCAUCAGGUAAUACUUGGAUUUGACGCCGUAUUUAUUUAAGCAUCAUGCAUAAGUUUUCAAAUUGAGAAAUAUUAUGAAGUUUGUCGUUCCUUUAAAUAUUUGGUUUAAGCAUGUGUUCAUACUGGAGCUCCAACAUUUAUCUGUUGAUUUUCAAACCUAGUCGAGUUAGAGUUCCUGUUGAGCAGCGAGGACGAAAGCUCACCCCUACAACAGUAUGAAUGCAGGUACUGUGCACUGGUGACGGGACAAUAGCGGAUGGAGCUGGGUGAGCAGAACAAGUUCGGUAAAUUACCGUGUGAACCUUAUUCUAAAUUCUAUUUCUCGAACUUUGUGUUCUGGAACUUGUGGUUAUCUAGUCUCGUGUCAUCUUUUAGUUGAA